rnacentral:lncRNA from 1 species
AAAAUGGCUACAGCCUGAUCGCAUUUUGGUGUUAAAGCAAUCGUUAUUAUUCUAUUAGGAAAAUAUAGACAUCGAGUUAAAUGGACAUGAUGGAAGACAAGUAUAUGAUCUGUGGUAAGUGUAGCUCGCGUAUGAAUGUGUUGGACACGCAUGAAGAAUGCUACAGACAUCGUAUAUGUCACAAGGCUUUUCCGUGCAAUAUUUGCCGGGAAUGGGAUGACGAUAAGCGAUCGCUAGUCGAUAAAAUGUUCGAGAAAGCCAGGUCAAGGCUUUCUUUUUCUGCAAAUGCCGUUAAUCCUUCUGUGCAGGUGAGGCAGGCAAGAAACUUGAAUGUACGGCAAAGCUGAGUGAAUUGGCGUCGUGGGACAAGCAUGACAAACAAUCUAAAGUCCGAACUGAUCAUGGUGCAGAUGAUCGUGAGACUCAAAGUAGAGGAGUACAUUUUGAAGCAGUUGAAUUUAACAAAUUUAUAGCAGAUCAAGUGCAAAUGCAAUUGAAAAAAUUGUUACCAAAGGCGCAGGCACAAGGCUUAAAGCAAGUGAUGCAUGUUCAGAUACAUUGAAUAAUAAACAUAUGCAUGCUUCCAUUGACUCGAAUUGUGAAAUUUCUUUGUCUAGGCCAAGGGCACACUAUAGUAAACUUAUGCCAUCUGAUGAUCAGAUUUCUGUUGUUUCUCGUGAAAUCGAAGAUGAAAUAAGUAUGGGUGGUUUAGCUAUUUCUGAUGAAAAUAAUAAUGAUGCCCACUCUCAGUCACAACCUUCUCAUGAUAAAGAAUUUUCUCUGUUUAGUGAAGGAGCACCAGGAUCUACUGAUCCAAUUCAAUGGAAUAAUUUUCUCCAUAAAUUAAAAGCCAAAUUGAAAAUAGAUUGUUUCAGAGGAGACUGAAGUAGAUUCAGUCAGAACUCUCUUAUUUGCCUUCAAGACUAAAUCCUGGCAAUCACAGAUAAAGCAACUUCAUUUAAAAUUACCUUUAGAGGGUACUACAAUUGAAGUUUCCAAGAAUGUUGAAAAGGAAGCUAUGUCUGGUAGACUUAAAAAUAGGUAAGUGGUGAUAAGGCUUUUAUGGUGUCGAAAAAAGAUUUUACAGAAUUUCGUUCCCCCCUCCUCAAGGCUUAAUGAUAAUAUAGAGGAAGGUUUGUCUUCUACUAUGGGCAAUAAAAAAAGUUUUGUAGACCAUAAACAGUUUUCGCACUCUUUAUCUUCCCUCCAUAAGGAAAUGGAUGCUGAAUUUAGAAAAGUUGACAACUCAGCUAGGACAUUGUUAAGAAGUGUUUCAUAUGGCUCUUUGAUAGCAAGCUAUAUGUUGCUGAUUUAGAGGAGGACAGGGUAGAAGCAUUUUCAGCUUUAGUAGCAUGUUUCAAAUCAAUGGCAGAUAUGACUUCACGUAUAGUUGCUAAUUCUGUUAUAAACAGAAGGAACAUUUUCUUAAAACAUGUAGAUUUCACUAGCAAAGCAUUCCUCUGUUGAAAAUAUAAGAGAUUCUAAAGAAACGUUUAUCGUUCUUCAUUUAUUCCUGGAGGGCAAAAAUUUGAUGAAGGAUCUAGAAAAAGAAAAUCUCAAGAAACUUCUAAUGUAACCUACGGCAAACCUGCAAAAACAUCAAGAUAUGAUAAGCAGGAUUUUAAUGACCGUCGUGGCAUUGACACUUCGUUUAAUUUUCGUGCCUUACCAGCAAAACAAGGAGGAAAAGGAUUUUUAUUAUAGAAAAAUUCCUCCCAGAAAAAUUUCAAGAGAUAAACAAUUAUUUGUCUGCGGUAAGUCUCCAGGGAGGAGCGCGGUUGUUACAUUACAACAGUCAGUGGUUUCAAAUAACUCAAGACAAAUUAGUACUUCAGAUAGUGAAGAACGGUUUGAUUUUAGAUUUCGUAAGUCUUCCAGCUUUUACAGGAGUAAAAGAGACAGUUGUAUACCAGAGUAGGUGCAAACAGGUCUUCUAUGUUAGAAGAGGUAAAUUCUUUGUUAGAAAAAACAUGCUAUAGAGCCUGUCUGAAAAGUGCAGAAAAUCAGGGUUGUUACAGUACAAUAUUCAUGGUACUAAAAUGACAAGGAGGUCUCCGAUCAAUUUAAAACCACUGAACCAGUUUGUCAUACGUCAUCACUUCAAAAUGGAAUCCCUCAGAUCGAUUCUAAAAAGUCUGAACAUUGGGAACUGGGCAGUAAAACUGUAUUUGCAAGAUGCAUAUUUCCAUAUCCCCAUUCACAAGCAUUACAGAAAGUUUCUCCGCUUCAGCAUUUUGGGAAAAAAGUACCAAUACCGAGCUCUACCGUUCGGUCUACGAUCGGCUCCAAGGAUUUUCACAAAAGGGAUGGCAGUAGUAGGUGCAUUUCUGCGAAAUAAAUGAUUCACAUAUUUAUGUACCUGGACGAUUGGAUGUUAAAAACAGCAGCAAAGUAAAGCUGACAAAACAAUUACAGUACACUCAGCAAUUGUUAAAAAAAUCAGGGUUUGAUAAUCAAUGGGAACAAUCUUGUUUAGUUCCGACUCAAAUAAUACAGUUUCUAGGAGCAGUGAUUCACUUAAAAGAAGGUCUUGUUUUUCCGUCUCUAGAGAGAUUAAAAAAUAUAAGUCAGAUGAUUCAAAUAUUCCAAAAUUCCCAAACAGUAGAGGCAUGUAAUGUUGAGACUACUUGGUCUUAAGGGCAUCGAUACAGUACAGGGAAGGUAAUGGUUGCUAACGUAAAAUUUAUUUUGCGAUGACAUAUCGGGAAAAGAUAUUUUCGACUGAUUUUAUCAUUCAAACUGAUUAAUUUGAAAACGAGUGCAUGGACCCCUAUUUUUUAAAAUAGCUUUGUUUCAUUUUGCAAGGAGAUUAUGUGACCCAAAUUUUAUAAAACUGUAAAUAGCGCAAUUUUUUUAAUUUUAAUAAACAUUCAGCAAAAAAUGACGUUUUUUCCUCUAUUCAUGAACAUUCGAUAAAUAUAGAGUUAUUUCGGAAUAAAAAAUUGCAUAAUUUUUAAUGAAGUUAUAAAAAUACAGAAUUACCGAUUAUUUAACAAAAAAACAAUUUGUGUUUAUCUUUUAAAGCAAAAAAGUUACGUCGUUCUUUCGAAAAAGAAAAAUGGACACAAAUCUGAAUUUUGAGCAAAUAUCAAAAUACCUCAUUUACUCAAAAAGUAGCACAUGAAGGUAUAUUUUUAUGACAUUUUGAUUAAUCAGGUAAAAAAUAGCCUAUAUGCAAAUUUUCAUCAACUUGUAAAUACAGGUUCAGAACUGUAUCGUAUGCCCUUAAGGCUUCAUGCAUAGAUUUAGUUCUAUGGGCCCGACUGCACAUGAGACCACUUCAGCUUUAUCUUCUAACUUGGUGGAGACCAGCUCUACACAGUUUCAAUCAUUUGAUUCCACUGUAUCAACCACUUCAGGAACAUCUAUUCUGGUGACGUAACCGAAGAAUUUUUUUCAAGGGAGUGUUAUUAGAACAGGAAUCUGCUCAGGUGACUAUGGUGAGAGAUGCGUCACAGUCGAGAUUGGGAGCUCAUAUAAACAAUUAUCAGAUAGCAGGUGUUUCGCCACCUCAGUACAAAGUGAAACACAUCAAUUGGCUAGAGCUCAAAGCUGUGCAGUUAGCACUGUAAACAUUUCUGAUAAAAGUACAAAUUAAAAGUGUUCUAGUGAGAACAGACAAUGCAAUUGUCGUCAGUUAUCAAAACAAACAGGGAGGUACCCGAACCCGAAACCUUUGUUACUUGGCAUGGGAUCUUUUGAAAUGGUGUAUAAAUCACAAUGUCAAAAUCCAAGCUGUUCAUAUUCCGGGGAAAAGAAUAUUAUAGCAGAUGCCCUGUCAAGGGGGGGGGAGGACUAUUCGUUUGAAGAAUGGGCAUUAGAUAUGACAAUAGUGAAUUUGUUGUUCCUUCAGCUAGGAACACCAGUAAAAGAUCUGUUUGCGACUUCCAUGAACAAGAAGCUGCCAGUGUUUUGCUCUCCUUCGCCGGAAGAAACAGCAGUAUCAAUAGAUGCGCUGUCGAUGAAAUGGACAGGUCUAUUUGCUUAUGCCUUCCCUCCACCGAUAUUUCUAAACAGAGUAUUACAAAAAAUACAGAAAAAGGACUGUGUAAUUUUACUGAUAGCGCCAAUGUGGCCGAGACAGUCGUGGUACAGUCAACUUCUCAACCUGUUUAUAGACUUUUCAAUACAACUGCCUGUCCAACAAAAUCUAUAAAGUCAAAAUGGAAUACUUCAUCAAAAUCCAAGUGUUCUAAAUCUUGUAGCUUGUAAGUCAAGCACUUUAGCUGGUUACAAGUCAGCAAUAGCUUUAAUACUGUAUUUCAUCUAAAGAUAGAAUUUCUAUUAACAUGGAUUUGCGUAAUUUAAUUAAAGGAUUGUACAACGUUAAUCCACCUAUAAGGUAUUUGGCGCAAAAUUGGGAUUUGCCGUUGGUUUUGCUAGAAUCACUAGAGGAAGCAGAAUUGAAAUAUUUAACCUUGAAGACAGUUUUUCUUAUGGCAUUAGCUUCUGCUGCAAGAGUCCGUGAAUUACACAGUUUCACUAUUAAUGACAAACGUUUCAGAAAAGAGCAAAGAGGUAUACGGUUGUUGCCAAAUUUUGCAGUUUCUUGCUAAAACUCAAACUUCGAAGAAACCAUGAGAACCAGUAUUCAUUCCCAAAUUUGAAAACUAUGCUACAGAUCCAAACGAUUUACUGCUGUGCCCUUGCAUAGCACUACUAGCUUAUAUUAAAAGAACUGAAGUUUUGCGCAAAUCACAAAGACUCUUUACAACAUAUCAAAAGGAUCAUUAUGUAGAGGCUUCUAAGAAUUCCAUUGCACGAUGGAUUGUGAACACAGUUAAAUAUGCAUAUGAACAUGCAAAUACAGACACACUUCAGUUUGUAGGAGCUCAUGAUAGAAGAAAGCCCUCAACUUCUUAGGCAUUAAUCAAUGGACUUUCCUCUCAUGAAAUUUUAAAAGCAGCUCAUUGGUCAAAUGAGACAACAUUCACAUCAUAUUAUUUGAAGGAUGUACCAGAUUUGGAAUCUCGGUUUGCAAAAGCUGCAAUUUUGCAUACGCCUAACAGAAAACAGAAGACGUAUUAAGGUAGAUAACUUUUUUUUACUAGUUAUUUUCUUCCUCUUAUCCACCACCUUUGGGUCUAUGCUGCAAAUUCUUUGCAAAUGUUUUUCAGACAGGUAAGUACACAUUUUGAUAUAAACUAUAGUUUUUUAAAGUAAGUUUGAGUGGCACCUUUAAAUGCAAAAUUAUUCAGUGAAACAAGAUCUUCUAUUAAGUCAAACUAUGUUUUGGACAAAAACUGAAGAAGAUGUAGAGAAAGUGUGAACAGAUUUUUUUAUCAGCAAUACGGGAUCAACAAAAAAAGUUCCAUGAAUUCUAGUAUAGUCUACAAUUUCGAAAAAAAUGUCCACUGUUGAAGAUGUACAUAGAUCUAGAUUACCUACACUGACGCUUUACAAGCCUCUUGUUUUUAUUAAAAUUGUCAACAAAAAGUGUGUUUUUUUUGCCAAUUUAUUUUUAAUUAAUGAAAUAUUCUCUUGACAAGUAAUGUUAUUCAAACACACAGUAUAUUGUUACUUAAAUAUCAAAGUAUAUCAUAUAAUCAAUAAAUUGCAUGACAUUGAGUUGAUAUGGUCUACACCCAACAUCAUGACAGUGGUUACAAAGCAAUUUGUCGAAAUCAAUUUUAUUUGGAACCAGUAGUCCACAAUAAAGUACAUGACCUUUUGAAGUUGAUGAAACUGUGUACUAAAACUAUUACAAUGUCAUUAAUUUACAUGAAUUACAUUUUUUUCUUAAAAUGUCUUGCACCAAGCCAUAUACGGUCCCCUCAGAAAACUUUAGAUAAGAUUCAUUAACGACCAAAACGUUAAAUCACAGAAAUACUGAACUCCGAGGAAAAUUCAAAAAGGAAAGCCCUAAUCAAAUACCAUUGUUGUUUGGUUUUUUGUUGCACUUCAGUGUUCUGUUGGUUCAUUGUUUUCCUCUUAUUGUUGUUGUGUUUCACUUGGUUUUAGUUUGUAACCUGGAUAUGUUUUCUCUCGAUCGAUUUAGGACUUUUGAACAGCGAUAUACUACUGUUGCCUUCCUUUAGCACAUACUUAAUGUCCGAUUGAAUAUCUUGAAUUUGCCUUCUUAGUAUAUAUUAGAUAACAAUUACCAAGUGUUGUCUGAGCAAUUCAGAACAUAUUCCCACCUUCGAGUGACAUUACCAAAUCAUUCUUUCCGAUUGUAAUAGUCAAAUCUAAAUGAGGGCACACUUAACAAAUCGUUAUAUGGUAAGUAAAAUUGAUGUUCUUAUAUAAUAAUGAUUUCAACAUAGGGAAUGGAAUAUUGUGAUACAAUUUUAUACUUAAAUUCCUUCAUUUAAAAAAUCUCACAAUGUUAUAUAAAUCAAAUUUUCUAAAAUUGUAUUAUUUUUUUUUCAUCAUCAAAAAUACCUUUAUCAAUUAAUCAUUGAAAUACGAUCGUUUCCUUUCAGUAUUUGUUUCUUUAAAAAAAGGGGGGGUUAAGGUCUUUCAUGUGAAUUAGAUUGAUUGCUAUUUUGUUUUGUUUUUGUUUUAUAUUCGAACCAUUCCUAUGGGAACGAACUGCGCACCUCUCCUUGCUGACCUCUUCUUAUUUUCAUAUGAAUCGGAGUUCCUUCAGACACUUGUCAAAAACAAAAGGAUCAAAGAAGCCAGGAUAUUUAAUUUCACUUUCAGAUAUAUUGAUGAUGUUCUUUCCAUUAACAAUCCGAACUAGAAAUUAAAGAGACAACAGACACGGCUUCCUUCGCCUCAUUUUUAGACUUAUACCUCGAAUUUGACAUACACAGUCAUCUUAGUACCAGAAUCUAUGACAAACGAGACGAUUCUGAUUUUGAAAUUAUCAAUUCCCCCACCUUAGUAGCAAUAUACCAACUUCACCUGCAUAUGGAAUAUACAUUUCCCAACUUAUUCGGUAUUCAAGAGCUUGCAGCUCCUACUCAGACUUUGUAAAACGUCACCAAUGUCUGAGCAGAAAGUUGAUGAACCAGGGAUAUGUCAAAGAACGUGUCGUCAUUUUUCUAAAAAAAAAAAGUUCAUCAGGAGGUACCCAGAACUUGUUGAUAAAUAUUCCGUAUCAACUUCACAAAUAAUACACGAUGGUCUUGAAGUAUAGAUUUUGCGUACUGACGUUGUUUAUCAUCUUAAUAACUUGUUACAUUAUUCUUUUAUUUGUAUUUAUUAAUAUAAUUACUUUUACUGUUAAGUCCGUUUUUUGAGAUAUCCUUUUUGGCGUAACUCUGUACUUAUGUAUCCCAUCAUACUUUGAACGACAAAAUUAUUUUAUGAUUUGACUCUUUACCUAUGUAUCUUGUCAUACUUUAAAUGACAAAAUUAUUUUAUUUAUCAAUAGUAGAUGAAUCUUUCUUCUUUCUUUUUGUACCUCAUUUAUAAUAUAUAAAGAAGGAUUAAAUGAAUUACAUCAGUUUAAAGGUGUCUGAUUGGGAGUGAAUAAAUCUUUGUAUUGUGCUACCUUAACCAACUUUUUUUGUGAUAUACAUUUGACGUGACUCUGUACUUAUGUAUCCCGUCAUACUUUGAACCACACUAUUAUUUUAUUUAUUAUUACUUUAUACUGUUUAGUCAGUGUUUGUUAUAUCUAUUUUGCGUGACUGUAUUUAUGCAUCCCGUCAUACUUUGAACGACAAAAUUAUUUCAUGUCUACCUGUGCGAAUUUCAAACGCGCAAUUUUACACCAGUACUCAAAACCCUCCUUCCUUGAUGGGUGCAUUUUACAUAAACAAAUAAAAUCUUAUAAUAUAAUCAAAAUGAGGAUGUUAAUUUGAUGUAUACCUUUUUGUGCCCCUUCGUUACAUUUGUAGGAUGUUAAUUUGAUGUAUACCUUUUUGUGCCUCUUCGUUACAUUUGUUGUUUUUAUAGUGAUUAAGAUGAUAACACAAUGUUGACUGCUGUACCCCUAUUUUUGACAUUUUUAACUAUUGUGUCUGUUUGUUUUGUUCACGCAUCGGUGACAAUAUAAUGGAAUGUGAUACGACUGUCAUACAAGUGAGAGGUUUAGCUAGCUAUAAAACCAGGUUCAAUCCACCAUUUUCUACAUUUGAAAAUGCCUGUACCAAGUCAGGAAUAUGACAGUUCUUGUCCAUUCGUUUUUGAUGCGUUUUGUUAUUUGAUUUUGCCAUGUGAUUAUGGACUUUCCGAAUUGAUUUUCCUCUGAGUUCAGUAUGUUUGUGAUUUUACUUUUUAAAUCAUCUUUAAACAAGUGAAAACUCAUCUUAAAAUUAUUUCAUAGUUCUGUUUUUUUGUUUUUGUUUAUAAUUAUAAUAAAGACAACAGUACUCAUGACUUUUUAAAUCUUAUUGUGGCACAUAAUGUAUAGUUUUUUUUUUUAAAGAAAAAAAGAAAAAUGUGUGCUUUUAAAAAGGAAGGAAUUUUAGAUAUAUAAGCAUUAAAUUGUACCUGAAGCAGAAAAGUUUCCAUUUUGGAAUAAUCUAUCCGUUUUUUUAUCACGAAACUGUCAUUUUAACCAUCUGUUAAAAAGACAACAGUUAUAUAGUAUAAAUUAUCAAAAACCAUUGAUUUUCAGGUCUCGUAUAAAAUUAGAUUAAAUAUUGUUUUUCCUACACAUUUGCCACUUUUUCAAUACUUUUAUUGCUCUAUGAAGUGUCGUAAUUGACGUGUCUUUCUACGGACUGUUAUAUUAUGAGCUAGCAAGUUAGAACCGACUCUACGUAAGUAAGUGACGUGUCUUUCUACGGACUGUUACAUUAUGAGCUACCAAGUUAAAAUUGGCUCUACAUUUCGGUCUCGUGCAUUAACAUGUUCUCGGCCUUGAAAAUGCAUAUCAAUUUUCCGCUAUAGACGUUAAGCAGCCAUCAUUUUUCUUUCUACGGACUGUUACAUUAUGAGCUAGCAAGUUAAAACUGGCUCUACAUUUCGGUCUCGUGCAUUAACAUGUUCUCGGCCUUGAAAAUGCAUAUCAAUUUUCCGCUAUAGACGUUAAGAAGCCAUCAUUUUUGAUCUUCUAAAUAUGUAGCAUUAUGUGCCUAUAAUUACUCUAAGUAUCAACACAAAAAGGUUAAAUGCAAAUUUGCGGAGGAAUGUUUUUCCGUAUAUUUGUGUUCUUCCCUCGUCUGUAAAUGUAUAAAAGUAAAAUUUUAUCUUUCACGCGAACGAAAUAAGCAAAUAAAUGAUCAAUCCAAACAAAAACCUAGCUCGUUCCAGCUACCAUAGGCAACACGACGGGUGCCACAUGUGGAGCAGGAUCUGCUUACCCUUCCGGAGCACAUGAGAUCACCACCAGUUUUUGGUUGGGUUCGUGUUGAUUAGUCUUUAGUUUAGUAUGUGUUGUCUUCUGUACUAUUAUUUUUCUGUUUGUUAUUUUUAGCCAUGACGUUAUUUAAAGAGUGACUUUGUAUAAAUUGGUACAAAACGAGAUAAAGAAAACAUUUUAAUACCACAAUAAAUCUACAAAAAUAAGCUUUCAAUUGUUUAUGUGAACGUCAGCACUAUUGAGUGUGUAAUCAGUAUGCGUAACGGAAUAUUGUGGUACAACUUUUUUAAUAAACGGAAAAUAAAAGUCCUUAAUGACUGGCUCUGAAUAAAUUACUGAUCAAAGAUUUUUUUUCGAAUUUAUUUAUUUAUCAGGAGGGAUGCAAUACUUCCUCCUUUAACAUACUACUGAUUAAUUGCUUAGAUGCAUGUAAAGAUGCAUGUAAAGAUGCAUGAACAGAUUACUUUCAAUAAAGAAACAACUCUAAAAUAUUGUCUAAGACAAUUUAAUACGAGAUAAAGAAAAUAGGAAAUAUCUCUUGUAUCUUUAAUACAGAUGCCAUUAGUGGUCAAUACCAGAAUUCUAAAUGAAACGAGAUAAAGAAAACAUUUUAAUACCACAAUAAAUCUACAAAAAUAAGCUUUCAAUUGUUUAUGUGAACGUCAGCACUAUUGAGUGUGUAAUCAGUAUGCGUAACGGAAUAUUGUGGUACAACUUUUUUUAAUAAACGGAAAAUAAAAGUCCUUAAUGACUGGCUCUGAAUAAAUUACUGAUCAAAGAUUUUUUUCGAAUUUAUUUAUUUAUCAGGAGGGAUGCAAUACUUCCUCCUUUAACAUACUACUGAUUAAUUGCUUAGAUGCAUGUAAAGAUGCAUGUAAAGAUGCAUGAACAGAUUACUUUCAAUAAAGAAACAACUCUAAAAUAUUGUCUAAGACAAUUUAAUACGAGAUAAAGAAAAUAGGAAAUAUCUCUUGUAUCUUUAAUACAGAUGCCAUUAGUGGUCAAUACCAGAAUUCUAAAUGAAACAGAAGAUUCUUAUUCCUCUUUCACGUGUCCGUUUGAUGCACGGUUGUCAAGUUGUUUUUUAUUUGUAUUUUUCAGAUAGGCUUGAAUGUAGAAAUUAGAAAACAACAAGAUAAAUGUUACAGAUCCUAUCACAAAGAUCCAUGCCAUGGGACGUGGAAACCCACAGUCGAUAAACAGUAACUGCGAACUAUGUAGUAAAAUUAGUACAAACUGGAUCUAAAAAACAAAUAUACAUACAUAUUACGAGUAUACUUUAUAGAGCCGCAAAAUUUUAAUAUGAAUGUAAACGUACCGAUUCACA